GAGACUCUGUGCGCGUGCAUAUCAAUAAGCGGAGGAAAAGAAACUAACUAGGGUUCCCUCAGUAACGGCGAGUGAAGCGGGAAGAGCUCAAAUUUGAAAUCUUCAAGGUUCUACCUUGACGAAUUGUAGUUUAAAGAAGUGUUUUCUGUUGGAGUUUUGGUAAAAGUUCUUUGGAAUAGGACAUCAUAGAGGGUGAGAAUCCCGUAUUUGAUCACUUUCUACUAACGUUGUGAUACACUUUCAAAGAGUCGGAUUGUUUGGGAAUGCAGUCCAAAAUGGGUGGUAAAUUUCAUCUAAAGCUAAAUAUUGGCGAGAGACCGAUAGCGAACAAGUACCGUGAGGGAAAGAUGAAAAGAGCUUUGAAAAGAGAGUUAAACAGUACGUGAAAUUGUCAAAAGGGAAGCGUUUGACACCAGUGUUGUUUUCUCGAAAAUCAAUUAAAAAAGGCCGGAUUAUGUGUUGUAUUGACCUUAAAAGCUUUCUUCACUCUUUUCUUGUCUUUUUUAAUGCACUUUUCGUUUAACAAGUCAACAUCAGUUUCUUUUGUUGUAAAAGGGUCAUUGGAAGGUGGCUUUCUUUUCGGAGAAAGUGUUUGAUAGCCUUUGAUCUCUGCAACCGGAGAGACUGAGGUCUGCAGCGUAGACUCUUCGGGGUUAGAUACAUUUGUGCUAAGCUAUAGCUUUUUCAUAGACAACUUGUUGACUAUAUUUAGUCUUGUGGCUUACUCGCUUAUGCUAUUUUACCUACGCUUAGGAUGUUGACGAUCAGCUGAGCGCG
rnacentral:rRNA from 1 species